rnacentral:rRNA from 1 species
GAUCAUGGCUCAGAUUGAACGCUGGCGGCAGGCCUAACACAUGCAAGUCGAACGGUAACAGGAAGAAGCUUGCUUCUUUGCUGACGAGUGGCGGACGGGUGAGUAAUGUCUGGGAAACUGCCUGAUGGAGGGGGAUAACUACUGGAAACGGUAGCUAAUACCGCAUAACGUCGCAAGACCAAAGAGGGGGGACCUUCGGGCCUCUUGCCAUCGGAUGUGCCCAGAUGGGAUUAGCUAGUAGGUGGGGUAACGGCUCACCUAGGCGACGAUCCCUAGCUGGUCUGAGAGGAUGACCAGCCACACUGGAACUGAGACACGGUCCAGACUCCUACGGGAGGCAGCAGUGGGGAAUAUUGCACAAUGGGCGCAAGCCUGAUGCAGCCAUGCCGCGUGUAUGAAGAGGGCCUUCGGGUUGUAAAGUACUUUCAGCGGGGAGGAAGGGAGUAAAGUUAAUACCUUUGCUCAUUGACGUUACCCGCAGAAGAAGCACCGGCUAACUCCGUG